rnacentral:pre_miRNA from 1 species
GUUGUGAGGAAUGUUGGCUGGCUCGAGGCUUUUCAAAACAAAGAUGUUCUUUUUUCUUUUUUCCUUUUUUUCAACUUGGAAAAAGAAGAGAAAAGAAAAGAAGAGAGAACUUUUAGGCUUCGGACCAGGCUUCAUUCCCCUCAAC